ensembl:lncRNA
GUCUACAGAUAAUUCUAAUUGUGUGCAGGAUGUUGAGGAAAAUAAUGAAUUUAAUCCAUUUUGGAAUGUGGAAAAAGUGAAGCACUGUGAAUACUUUCCGGAUGCACUGUAGAAAUGACUUGUGGGUUAAAUACCUUGAGGGGGAACGGGUUCAUAAUGCAGCGUAACAAGUACUUUUAUCUAAAAUGUCAGUUUGAGAUGCAGGGGAAAAUUACUUUAAAUAAUACCACCAACAUACUUUAUUAUCAUUAUUAUAAUAUUUUAAAUAUCCAUGAACAACAAUAUUCAUACAUGCAAAAGCCCUCAAACUCAAAAUUUCUGAUUUUAUUGCUCAUUCACACACCCAUGCAAACCUUCCAACAUCCAGAUUUGUACACAAAUGAGCAGUAAAAGAUGACAUUUAAAUAAGUAACAAAGGAGAAUCCAGUAAAACCUACUCAAACAAAAUUAAUACUGGAAAGAUGUUUUCAAGUAAUUGUCUAAUUCAAUGAAAUGAUUAAUGAGUUCAAUAGUGCACUUCAGAUGUCAGAUGUACAGUCAGCUUUCCUGUCUUUCAAAAACAUAUCUAAUAUAAGGCUAAUUAAGUGUCAAAAGGAGGUCAAAGCAGCAGAGUCCAACAGAUGCGUAACCCUCUACGAAAGAACUGGAGACAGAAAAACGAUGCACAUCAUUAUGAAAAAACAAAGGACCACAAUAAAACUGCCCUCUGUAGUAAAACAAGUCAAACCGCGUGUACUGUGUUUACAGUAUCUGUGUGGAUCCCCUACGUCCUCAAACAAGGCUCAACUUAACCAUGCUGAACAUUUUAAAUCGGAUUAUAAGGCAUUUCCAAUGUGUUCACAUAUAAUGUGUGGUCAAUCUUUGAGUGGACUCUGCUGCGAUGCCCCCCGCUGUGUCUUCAACUGGUGUAGUGUCUGCCUUGAUUAAAGCCAGCUUGGUUGUAUUGCUGCCCGCCAUGUUGAAAGAACUGUUCAAACUGUCCGCCUUGGUUAAAAUUCUGCCCCCCUCUGGCGCCCCACCCCCUGCCUCGGCCUCCUCUUCCCCUGCUGCCACGACUUCCUCGCCCGCCUCCUCUCUCCUGAUGCCAGCCUCCAUCUUGUUGCUGAUUGUCAUGGUAACCACCACCACCACCUCCACCUCCUCC